rnacentral:ncRNA from 1 species
CAAAAGUUUGAUUCUAGCUUAUUCUUUUAUAUUAUAAUUAAAUUAUAUAUGUAUAUUUUAGUGUGUAAAUUUGUAUAGACUUAAGGUCUUAUAAUAAUUAUGUGGGUAAUGAGGUUAAAAUACGUUUGAGCGCAGUAUUCAAUUUUGAACAAUUAAUUAGAAUUAGAGUUUGGUAAUUAUAUAAAACCUGAUUAAAAUUUGUGCCAGCAGUCGCGGUUAUACUUAGGGGUUAAGUAAAAGUAAGAUGAUAUUUAGUUAAAAGAAACUUUUUAUAAAUGUUUAUAUUAAUAAAAGGUAAAAUUAAGUUAUUAAUUAUAAACGGAGAAUUUGUGUUAUUGAAGCUAAAAAAUUUUAGACAUAAAAUAGGAUUAGAUACCCUAAUAUACUAAAAAUAAAAAAGAAAAAUCUAAACAUUAAUAGUUAUGUUCUUUAAACUUAAAGAAUUUGGCGGUGUUUUAGUCUGGUUAGAGGAACCUGUUUCUAGAAAACGAUAAACCACGCAUGAUCUUACUUUUUCUUAUUAAGUUUGUAUACCGUCAUUAUUAGAUGAUUUUUAAAGAAUAAAUUGUUAUAGUAGAAUAUAGUCUAGUAUAUUAGAUCAAGGUGCAGCUGAUGAUGAGAAGAAAAUGGGUAACAAUAAAUUUUAAUUUACACGGAUCUAAUGGGUAAAGUGCUGUUAGUGAAAGGAGGAUUUUAAUAGUAUUUAAAUUUAAUAAGUUUAGAUGAUAGUAGCUCUAAAAAAUGUACAUAUCGCCCCGUCGCUUUCAUUUUUAAAGUGAGAUAAGUCGUAACAUAGUAGAUGUACCGGAAAGGUGUAUCUAGAAUAAUA